GCCAAAACCUUUAUAAGCAAGACUAAUUUCUUACAUAUACCUUUUGGUAAUUCAUGAUUAGACAUACCACAAUAUUUGUGUCGUACUAAAAGUACGCGAUCAAUGAUCGCCGCCAGUCACCAUCGCCGCCUUCCAGUCACCGUCGCCGCUUGCCAGUCACCGUCGCCGCCGUCUCUACCCAGUACCGCCGUUUCCGUCCACAGCCAACCAUUUGAGGUACGGUUGCGGAAGAACGAAGUGAGAGGUGGAGCUAAGGUUGUUCUGCUGACACUUUAUGACCCUGAGAGUGUCUGGUAAUAUAUUAUGGUAUUAGUGAUGGAGAAAAUUUUUUUCUGGUGCUCAUCAAGGUUGAUUGGUGGAAAGUCAGACAAGCUACUGGUGAUUUACUUUUAUGUAUAAAUUCGAUCUAGGUUUACAUGUUGAAGGUUGAAGGAAUCGCAUUUCGGUUUUUGCCAGAUCCUGUUCAAAUUAAGAAUGCAAUGGAGUUAAAAGCUUCUGAUGUAAAGACUGGAUUUGAUGGAGUCCCUGUUUUCCAGUAUGCAGCGGCGGAGCAGAUUUACUAAGGAGAUUCAAAAUAUAUAGAAAUAAACAAUCAAAUUGCCGAGAGAAUUCAACAUCUACUAUAUAUUUUUCAGCAAAAGGUAUUCGGAUGAAACCCCUUAGCGUUGGCCCUGAGUAUGGACCUAUUGAGAGGGGAAAGUUUACUCAGCCACAACUAAUGCACAUUUUGAUUCCAUGGAGCAUAGCCUUAGCCUCAGCAUAAUAUUGCUGGACUCAAUUAAAAUGUACACUUAGUUUUCUUCUAUGAAAUUGAACAUAGAAAAGAGAAGAAUUAGAAAGCUUAUGUUCUAGGUUUUCAACCUACAAACUGUAAAGGAGUCAAUUAUAUGUGGCCUAGAGGCUCUUCCUCUUAAUGUCUCUUCGGAAUGUUUGAAUGACGUUUUGAUUCAACUUUCAAGUAGUUUCGAAUUGAAUUUGA